GCUUGCUCUCGGGUGACGAGCGGCGGACGGGUGAGUAAUGUCUGGGAAACUGCCUGAUGGAGGGGGAUAACUACUGGAAACGGUAGCUAAUACCGCAUAACGUCGCAAGACCAAAGUGGGGGACCUUCGGGCCUCAUGCCAUCAGAUGUGCCCAGAUGGGAUUAGCUAGUAGGUGGGGUAACGGCUCACCUAGGCGACGAUCCCUAGCUGGUCUGAGAGGAUGACCAGCCACACUGGAACUGAGACACGGUCCAGACUCCUACGGGAGGCAGCAGUGGGGAAUAUUGCACAAUGGGCGCAAGCCUGAUGCAGCCAUGCCGCGUGUGUGAAGAAGGCCUUCGGGUUGUAAAGCACUUUCAGCGGGGAGGAAGGCGUUGAGGUUAAUAACCUUGUCGAUUGACGUUACCCGCAGAAGAAGCACCGGCUAACUCCGUGCCAGCAGCCGCGGUAAUACGGAGGGUGCAAGCGUUAAUCGGAAUUACUGGGCGUAAAGCGCACGCAGGCGGUCUGUCAAGUCGGAUGUGA
rnacentral:rRNA from 1 species